rnacentral:misc_RNA from 1 species
GAUGAAGAACGUAGUGAAAUGCGAUAAGUAAUGCGAAUUGCAGAAUUUCCGUGAGUCAUCGAAUCUUUGAACGCACAUUGCGCCCACUGGUAUUCCGGUGGGCAUGCCUGUUCGAGCGUCAUUAUCCUCCCUCAAACCCCGGGUUUGGUGUUGGACCCAAGUUGUGUGAACAACUGGUCUCAAAGACAAUGACGGCGUCCGUGGGACCCUCGGUGCAACGAGCUUUUAGGAGCACGCAUCGAGUUGCAAGGACCUUCCGGGCCGGUCUCCUUUACCAUUUUACAAGGUUGACCUCGGAUCAGGUAGGAAUACCCGCUGAACUUAAGCAUAUCAAUAAGCGGAGGA